UGUACCACCAUGCUGAAGUGUAUGGAAACAAGGCUGUGCGCGCCACGGCGCGGGGAACGUGCUGGCAGAGAACCAGAGUUGAACAGGCCCGGGCCAGGGGAGGUGACUGGAAUGCAGGUGGGCUCCAAAAUAAACAGUGCGGUCACGGCGAGACCACGUGCACCUGUGCGUGGAUGGAUGUGUGGAGUCCGUGCUUGUUGUCAUGAGGCGGUGCCGGCUGUCACGUUGAUCUGCUCAUGGCCCCGGGAGCCUGCUGAGCGCACAGGGCACAGCCAGCCCAUCCAGCUCAUCCAGCACACGGCGGCUGCACCUGUCUGCUGCAGGCUAUACGAACACGCAUUACAACAGUAGCUACACCUUCUUUUUGAUUUUGUUUAAUAAAUGUUCUUACUGCAAAUGAAACAGUGUGUAAAGACAGGUAUGUUGACAUUUGCAUUGCAGUUAAUUGAUAAUUUCCCUAUUAGAAACUAACUCUAAUAACCCUAGGUAAUGUUAGAGCUAAAACAAGAGCACAAAGACUUGGAGUCCCACAUACUCAUUUAUCUCUACAAGAGACAGAUGCUGGUGUAAAAAAAUCAACAAGGUUUGAUGAACACCCAACAAACUCAAUUUACACGGACAUUUCCAUUCUCAGUAAGACCAUUACAUAUCUGUUACAGGUUAAUGACC